UACGUAGGGUGCAAGCGUUAAUCGGAAUUACUGGGCGUAAAGCGUGCGCAGGCGGUUAUGUAAGUCAGAUGUGAAAUCCCCGGGCUCAACCUGGGAAUGGCAUUUGAGACUGCAUAGCUAGAGUGUGUCAGAGGGGGGUAGAAUUCCACGUGUAGCAGUGAAGUGCGUAGAGAUGUGGAGGAACACCGAUGGCGAAGGCAGCCCCCUGGGAUAACACCGACGCUCAUGCACGAAAGCGUGGGGAGCAAACAGG
rnacentral:rRNA from 1 species